CAGCAGCCGCGGUAAUACGUAGGUGGCAAGCGUUGUCCGGAAUUAUUGGGCGUAAAGGGCACGCAGGCGGUUUCUUAAGUCUGAUGUGAAAGCCCCCGGCUCAACCGGGGAGGGUCAUUGGAAACUGGGAAACUUGAGUGCAGGAGAGGAGAGUGGAAUUCCACGUGUAGCGGUGAAAUGCGUAGAGAUGUGGAGGAACACCAGUGGCGAAGGCGACUCUCUGGUCUGUAACUGACGCUGAGGAGCGAAAGCGUGGGGAGCGAACAGGAUUAGAUACCCGGGUAGUCCCUGUCUCUUAUAA
rnacentral:rRNA from 1 species